UACGUAGGGGGCAAGCGUUGUCCGGAAUCAUUGGGCGUAAAGAGCGUGUAGGCGGUUCAGUAAGUCCGCUGUGAAAGUCAAGGGCUCAACCCUUGAAUGCCGGUGGAUACUGUUGAACUAGAGUCCGGAAGAGGCGAGUGGAAUUCCUGGUGUAGCGGUGAAAUGCGCAGAUAUCGGGAAGAACACCCGUGGCGAAGGCGGUUCUCUGGGACGGUACUGACGCUGAGACGCGAAAGCGUGGGGAGCGAACAGG
rnacentral:rRNA from 1 species